UCCCUGGAGGCCUAGUGGUUAGGCCAUGGUGCUCUCACUGCUGCGGCCCAGGUUCGCUUCCUGGCCAGGGAA
rnacentral:tRNA from 1 species